ACCUACGGGGGGCAGCAGUGAGGAAUAUUGGUCAAUGGUCGGGAGACUGAACCAGCCAAGCCGCGUGAGGGAUGAAGGUACAGAGUAUCGUAAACCUCUUUUGUCAGGGAACAAAGGCGGGGACGUGUCCCCGGAUGAGUGUACCUGAAGAAAAAGCAUCGGCUAACUCCAUGCCAGCAGCCGCGGUAAUACGGAGGAUGCGAGCGUUAUCCGGAUUUAUUGGGUUUAAAGGGUGCGCAGGCGGUCUGUUAAGUCAGCGGUCAAAGCCCGGGGCUCAACCCCGGCCCGCCGUUGAAACUGGCAGG
rnacentral:rRNA from 1 species